GCAAGGGGAGCCAGGUAAGCUGUUGGACAUCCAUGGGGACAACUCAGUGGCAGAUGUAGCAAAAGCAGUUUUCUGUCUCAGUGAGUCACAGGACGGUCGUAGGGUACAGAUAAUACCCAAAGACACAAACGAUAGCUCGAUCAAUGGGAAUCUUGAGACAAAGCAAAGAGAUAAGAUGCAUAUUGGUUCUAGAUUCUCAAGUCUUGGGCCCCAUCACAGCACUCUGGAAUUGCUAUCAUAACCUCCCGAUUUCCUCCCACCUCCAGCCUCUGCUCCUGGGGGUCCACAUUGCACACUCCAGCCAGAUGAGUCUUUCGUAAAGGCUAAUUUCACCCUUGCCAUUAGCUUGCAAAUAUUGUACACUACCCAUAGGUUAACACAUAGAUGCCCUGGGAGCCUGCUUUUUGAAGGAGCCUCCUGAACUAUUGCCAGAGGAACUCAUUAAAGACUUCUGAGCCUUCCCCCAGCCCAGGGAAUCCUGAUUUAGGUGAUCAGAGACCAGGCUCCAGGAAUUAGCAUUUCAAAAGCUGGAAUCAGGACCACACUUGAGGAAUGUGGUCCAACGUCCCUGCAUUUUCCAAGCGGUGCGUGGCUUAGGACCUCUUCAUCUCACUCAGCUCACAGCAGCCUCUCUGCCAUCCCCAGCACCCACGGGCGCCUCAGUGCUCUGCCCAGGAACCUCUCCCCAUGGGGACGGCUCUUCUUCUCCUUACUUCCCCCUGCAAACCCUUCCAACCCUUGAAGAUCAACCUCCAGUGUCCUCUGAAUCAAGACAUCCUCAAGCCCUUCCACGCAGAGUGAUGUCCUUGCCCUUCUGACAACUGAUCUCUAUUUAUUACCACCACCAUUUGCUUUUCAUACUUAAUCACACAUCACUUUGCCUUUUGCCUUCUCUCUCUUCCAUCCACUCUUUCAAAGACCAUUAAACACUUCCGCGUGGGAGGCGCUUCUCCCCAACUAUUCAUACGGUGAACGUUUCUGGAGGUGGAGCUCGGUCACGUUUCUUUCAUGUUUACCUUCACAAAAUACUCCCUGGGCUGGGGCUCCUUGGAAGCACUUGUGCAGUUUGGGGUUUUUUUUUUUUUUCUUUUGGAAUGAUGAAUGGAUGAGUAAAUGAAUCAAGUCUUGAGGCAGAAGAAAAUGGGCAAGAGGCCAUGGUGAUGAUCCUUGAUUGCCUGUCCUACUUUCUAUGUUCUUGUUCUUUAUACCCUCUCCUUCAUGCUCGGAGUGGCAGAUUUUCUGGGCCGGUGGCCAGGUGUGUGGGUUGUAAUAUCGUAGAUGUGUCUUCUAAUGCAACACCAUCUUUGAAAUCUUGGCGGUGUGAAGAGGUCACUGGAGGGAGGCAGGCCUGUGAUUCAUGGUAGCAGAAGGUGGGGCUCCAAGAUGACUGAUUGGUUGCCAAUGACAUUGGCACAAUGCCAUUGUGAGGUCAUCAAUUCCCGUGCUCCCAUGCAUUUCCCCUCCUUCUCUAGGUCUUGGUCUUCUCUUGCUUUGGAGGCUUUGGCUCGGGGUCCCCUGGGUCCUACUCGUGGGAGUCCGGCUUUGUGCGAACACCUCCCUAGUGGGCCUGCCCCACUUCCCCACUACUGGCAACGAUUUUAAUUUUCCAGCGUGCCUGGGUUGUCAUGCCCACACAGGCAAACAACGUGUCUUCUGCCAGAUUCACUUAAAAAGACAAACUCUAGAUUUCCCUGGGAGAGCGGCCUGCCACCUGCUGUGAUCCACGUCUUCAGGACAGAUGCGACUCCUGUGAGCCCCGAGACACCGGAGCUGUGUUUGGUCUGCCAGCGGUUAUCGUCAUCACCCCAAAAGGAGUAUUUUCUGUCCCGUCUGUUCCGGGGGACUGAUCAUGCUGCUGGCGAUAAGGACUCCAGCAAAUCUCUGAGGGCUACUGAAAUCAUACCCAUGGAAAGUCAACCUUGGAGCGCCCUGGAAAUACCCGGGAGUGAGAUGAUGCAGCAUGAGUGCCAGAAAGGCUGUUCCCGACUGAGCCCAGACUAAUGCAGCCCUUCCUCGCCCUCGCCUUUCCCCAUUGAUGGCGACCUUCUGGCUCCCCAUUGCAGCCCUUCUGUCGUUCACCAAAAAGCCACCAUCCAAUCCGUGCAGAAGCCAGCCACACCGCUGGGGACACAGGAGACUGGGCAUUCAGGCAGGGAGUGCUGUCUUUCUGGGGACUGUCAUGCAAAGCACUGCAUUCCAGAUCUGAGCUGCUGCUUGUUCCCCGAAGCUUCUCGGCUGAUCUUGUCACCAGCACUCGCUACUCACAUCAGUUACUAAGACAACUGAAAAGGCUUCACCGGUCUCCUGGGAAUCCUGACCGUAUGAAUAGUGCAGGAAAAUAACAGCCACCAGCUGAUAUCCCCAGUGGGGAAGAAAGGACAAUUAAUAGAUUCACCAUUUGCCAUGCAAUUCCAUCGCGAAGCAGCCUCCCUUGUUAGGUCGAGAAACGUCUGCCGUCAUCAGAGUUCAGCUCCCUCACUAUGAAAUGUAUCUUUGCUUUGUUUGUAAGAAAUUCACAUGCCGCUUCUUUUCCUCAUGAGUAUGGGAAGCCUUCAGCCAAGAACAUCUUAAAUAAAUGACUAGCCUUGACAAGAGACACACCAGGGAUGGGGCUGGAACUUCCACCACGGCGUGCUGAGACAUCCCAUCAAGUGUGAUAAAGCAGGAAGGGGGGCUGAAGGCAGCCCCACACUCAGUGUGCCCACAGACAGGCUCCUGAAGUCUCUAGAAGGAUCUCUGUCUCCCCUCUGAAAACAGGUCUGGUUGCUACCGCCUCUGAUUUUUUAAAAACUAUAUAAUUAAUGCCUGCAGUUGUUGAAAAUAAAAAGG